rnacentral:tRNA from 1 species
GUUUGCCUUGUGAUGGUGGCCCUUCGACAGCCUACGCUGCUGUCAGCAAUGCCGGUGCUGCGUGGGUGGGGAGUUCGAAUAUCCAGGCAAACG